CUUCAGGCCUGGCCCCUAAAGGAAGGAAGGCUUUCACUCAUCCCCCAGCUGUCCCAAGAAGAGCUCAGGUGGUGGUCAUGGUGCUGACAGGAAGCGCAAGUAAGCAGAGAGGAGGCCAGAGUGAGGCCCAUUUGAAGCCGGGAACACCAAGAUGGACACAGGAAGCAGCUGGUGUCAGCUCAAGUCCAGCAGCAGGAGCACAGGCUAGAAGCAUGAGGCCUAGAGCACAGGUUCUCCAGGCUGCAUCACUUCCAGGCACCAUGGCAGCUUCAAUGCCUUCUCUGGAUUCAGUCUCACCAGACAAGUGGACCAGACAGACAGCCAGGAGA